rnacentral:lncRNA from 1 species
UUCCUGCCUCGGUACAGACAUUUUCUGAUUUAGUAAAUGGUGAAUAAACAUAGUUUUAAAGUUAGCUAACCUUUUCACUUGCAUGACAGUCGAAAAAAAAAGUUUAUUGACAACAAUGUCUGAACAAAACAAAGACAUUUUAGGUAAAAAUUGUUAAAAUAAAAUGCGGUUUAUCAUUUAACCUUAUGUUUUAAUCUUAAUCACACCCCCCCCCCAAAAAAAAAAAACAAAAAAAAAACCAUAAAAGUCAGCAAAGAAAAGAUUAAAGGCAUAUAUGCAAAGCUUAUAAGCAAAAAUGAAAGACAAGAAUACGAAAGUCUACCAUAGCACAAUAAUACCAUUGACAAGGUAUCAAAGUACCAAGGAAUAUCAAAUAAAAUAGCAAAAGAAAAACAACGGUAUAAUAUUCCAAAUCACAAAAACAAGGACUCUAACACGU